AGAAGUUUGNAUCAUGGCUCAGCAUUGAACGCUGGUGGCGUGCUUAACACAUGCAAGUCGAGCGAGAAAGUUCUCUUCGGAGAACGAGUAGAGCGGCGCACGGGUGAGUAACGCGUGGAUGAUCUACCUUCGGGAACGGGAUAACGGAUGGAAACGCCCGCUAAUACCGUAUGGUCUUCAUAUUUGGCUUUAUGAGGUAAAGGUGGCCUCUACACGUAAGCUACCGCCUGGAGAUGAGUCCGCGUCUCAUUAGCUUGUUGGUGGGGUAACGGCCUACCAAGGCGACGAUGAGUAGCCGGCCUGAGAGGGUGGCCGGCCACACUGGAACUGGAACACGGUCCAGACUCCUACGGGAGGCAGCAGUGGGGAAUAUUGCGCAAUGGGGGAAACCCUGACGCAGCGACGCCACGUGAGGGAUGAAGGCUUUCGGGUCGUAAACCUCUGUCAGGAGGGAAGAACCGCUUUGAGUCGAAUAGGCUCAGGGCCUGACGGUACCUCCAGAGGAAGCACCGGCUAACUCCGUGCCAGCAGCCGCGGUAACACGGAGGGUGCGAGCGUUAAUCGGAAUCACUGGGCGUAAAGCGUACGUAGGCGGCUUUGCAAGUCAGGGGUGAAAUCCCUCGGCUCAACCGAGGAACUGCCUUUGAAACUGCAUGGCUUGAGUAUCGGAGAGGCAGGCGGGAAUUCCGGGUGUAGGAGUGAAAUCCGUAGAUAUCCGGAGGAACACCAGUGGCGAANGCGGCCUGCUGGACCNAAUACUGACGCUGAGGUACGAAAGCGUGGGGAGCAAACAGGAUUAGAUACCCUGGGUAGU
rnacentral:rRNA from 1 species